rnacentral:misc_RNA from 1 species
GUUAAUAACAAAUCUUAUUCUAUUGUACCAUAGAAGAUGAAUUUAUUGGUUGAGGUUCUGAAUUGUGAAAAAGUAGAAACAAUUGCUGGAAAUAGAAAUUAUUGAUGGAGAGAGAGCAAGAGCGAAGAAGGGGAUGGGGUUUAACUGAGUGUGCACUGAUUGGGCACGAGUGCACAACUAGAAAGAUUUUUCUUAGUUACUAUUGUUAAUUGCUUUCCCUAUAAUGGGAGUAGAUCUAGUUGAUCUAUUUUGCAUGUUGUAGAAGGGAAUCAAGUGAACAAUGUGAACUCCUAAAUGGUUAACAAGGUGAGCUGGUUGGUGAAGUUUACAAGGUUAAAUAAGCUUGAAGUUUGAUUCUUUUCUAAUUCAAUGGAGUUGGUUUCUUGUGGUUUAUUGUUUAUUUAGUUUUCACAAGUCCACCUUGAAUAAUGAUAGCAUAUUGCAUUUUAAUGGUGUUAUUGUAUAGCAAACAUUUUAAUCAAUGCCUAUAAUUGAAACGGAUAUUGUAUUUAGAUUUUAUUGCAAUUGUAUGAUGUUUGAUCUUUAAAAUUUUUCUUUGCAGGUCAGUG